AAAAAUCUACAGAUCUGCUUAGCACUUUUAACUAUCACGUCAACCUCACAAAACUUAGCAACAUCCUUAAGCAUGAGGUUAACAGUGUGAGCAGCACAUGGCUGCCAAACAAUAUGACUAAACUCUGGUUGUUCUACCAGACUUUUACAUGCUUUCUUGUAAUUUGACCCAUUAUCGGUUACAAUUUGAACAACAUUCUCAGAUCCUAUCUCUUCUACAACAACCUUUUUGAUCUCUCUAUAGAUAAAAUCUGC
rnacentral:lncRNA from 1 species